rnacentral:rRNA from 1 species
UACAGAGGUCCCAAGCGUUGUUCGGAUUCACUGGGCGUAAAGGGUGCGUAGGCGGUCGGGUAAGUCUGAUGUGAAAUCUCACAGCUUAACUGUGAAACUGCAUUGUAUACUAUCCGGCUCGAGGAAUGGAGGGGAGACUGGAAUACUUGGUGUAGCAGUGAAAUGCGUAGAUAUCAAGUGGAACACCAGUGGCGAAGGCGAGUCUCUGGACAUUUCCUGACGCUGAGGCACGAAAGCCAGGGGAGCAAACGGG